UUCAUAUAGAAGGUGUUGGGAAAGACUCGGAAACCUUAAGGAAUUAAUCACAUGUAAUUCAUCUGCUCCCAAUAAAAUCUCCCUUUCAAUCCAAAGAGGAGGAUAUUCUGGUACCUAUCGAGUAGCUGCUGAUGUGUCAAGUAGAAUCCCUAGAGACCUCUUGACCCUAAGGAUAGGAAUAAGCUCAGCUCUGCAGCUGCAUGAAGAUCAUCUGGAAGGUCCAGCUGAAAUGCAAUGACAGGCAUAACAGCUCAGAUCUGCAGGGCUAUGAGGAAAGAUUAUGAACUUCAUGGAAGCCAGUGAUGAAACCUUCAUUCAGUGCUUUCUACAGUAUAUAUACAACUUUGCUGCCACAGGGAGGUGAAUGCUUUGCAACUUACCCCCACUGUAACUACGCUCUGCAUAUAGGCAAUUGGAUCAAUUAAUUAUUGCAUUGUGGCCCUUACCUGAAGCAGAA
rnacentral:lncRNA from 1 species